rnacentral:lncRNA from 1 species
AAUAAGGCAUGCCUCCACAAGACUUCGAUACCCGGCGAGUGCGGAGGUGACGGAGAGGCCAACUCAACCGAACCACGAGCACGGGCCGAAUAUCGGACUGAAGCUCAAAAGCUACAGAGCUUUUGGGAACAGAAGCUUCAGACUACAGAGCUGUUGAGAACAGAGGUUGAUGAGAUAGAAGUGCUUGCCAAUCCCACCCACGUCUAAGGGGAAAAUCAGCUUGAC